UACGUAGGGCGCAAGCGUUAUCCGGAAUUAUUGGGCGUAAAGAGCUCGUAGGCGGUUUGUCGCGUCUGCCGUGAAAGUCCGGGGCUCAACUCCGGGCCUGCAGCCGAUACGGGCAGACUAGAGUUCGGCAGGGGAGACUGGAAUUCCUGGUGUAGCGGUGAAAUGCGCAGAUAUCAGGAGGAACACCGGUGGCGAAGGCGGUGGUCUGGGCCGGAACUGACGCUGAGGAGCGAAAGCGUGGGGAGCGAACAGG
rnacentral:rRNA from 1 species